rnacentral:rRNA from 1 species
CCUACGUGCGGCAGCAGUGGGGGAUAUUGCACAAUGGGGGGAACCCUGAUGCAGCGACGCCGCGUGGGUGAAGGAGCGUUUCGGCGCGUAAAGCCCUAUCGGCAGGGAAGAAGGAGGACGGUACCUGCCUAAGAAGCCCCGGCUAACUACGUGCCAGCAGCCGCGGUAAUACGUAGGGGGCAAGCGUUAUCCGGAUUUACUGGGUGUAAAGGGGGCGCAGACGGGAGCGCCAGCCAGGAGUGAAAGCCCAGGGCCCAACCCCGGGACUGCUCUUGGAACUGCGCGGCUGGAGUGCUGGAGGGGCAGGCGGAAUUCCUGGUGUAGCGGUGAAAUGCGUAGAUAUCAGGAGGAACACCGGUGGCGAAGGCGGCCUGCUGGACUGCGACUGACGUUGAGGCCCGAAAGCGUGGGGAGCAAACAGGAUUAGAUACCCCUGUAGUC